rnacentral:rRNA from 2 species
UUUUGCACAGCGCGCCCAUUAAAGAUCUUCCACAAUGGACGCAAGUCUGAUGGAGCAACGCCGCGUGAGUGAAGAAGGCUUUCGGGUCGUAAAACUCUGUUGUUGGAGAAGAAUGGUCGGCAGAGUAACUGUUGUCGGCGUGACGGUAUCCAACCAGAAAGCCACGGCUAACUACGUGCCAGCAGCCGCGGUAAUACGUAGGUGGCAAGCGUUAUCCGGAUUUAUUGGGCGUAAAGCGAGCGCAGGCGGUUUUUUAAGUCUGAUGUGAAAGCCCUCGGCUUAACCGAGGAAGCGCAUCGGAAACUGGGAAACUUGAGUGCAGAAGAGGACAGUGGAACUCCAUGUGUAGCGGUGAAAUGCGUAGAUAUAUGGAAGAACACCAGUGGCGAAGGCGGCUGUCUGGUCUGUAACUGACGCUGAGGCUCGAAAGCAUGGGUAGCGAACAGGAUUAGAUACCCUGGUAGUCCAUGCCGUAAACGAUGAAUGCUAGGUGUUGGAGGGUUUCCGCCCUUCAGUGCCGCAGCUAACGCAUUAAGCAUUCCGCCUGGGGAGUACGACCGCAAGGUUGAAACUCAAAGGAAUUGACGGGGGCCCGCACAAGCGGUGGAGCAUGUGGUUUAAUUCGAAGCAACGCGAAGAACCUUACCAGGUCUUGACAUCUUUUGAUCACCUGAGAGAUCAGGUUUCCCCUUCGGGGGCAAAAUGACAGGUGGUGCAUGGUGUCGUCAGCUCGUCCCUUA